rnacentral:rRNA from 1 species
AACGCUGGCGGCGUGCCUAAUACAUGCAAGUCGAACGGUCUUUCUAUGGAAGCUUGCUUCCACUGAGAAGAUAGUGGCGAACGGGUGAGUAACACGUGGGUAACCUGCCCAUAAGAGGGGGAUAACAUCCGGAAACGGGUGCUAAUACCGCAUAGUUUUCUUGAUCGCAUGAUCGGGAAAGGAAAGACGGCCUUUGUGCUGUCGCUUAUGGAUGGACCCGCGGCGUAUUAGUUAGUUGGUGAGGUAACGGCUCACCAAGACGAUGAUACGUAGCCGACCUGAGAGGGUGAUCGGCCACAUUGGGACUGAGACACGGCCCAAACUCCUACGGGAGGCAGCAGUAGGGAAUCUUCCGCAAUGGACGAAAGUCUGACGGAGCAACGCCGCGUGAGUGAAGAAAGGUUUUCGGAUCGUAAAACUCUGUUGUCAGAGAAGAACAAGUUGGAGAGUAACUGCUCCAGCCUUGACGGUAUCUGACCAGAAAGCCACGGCUAACUACGUGCCAGCAGCCGC